rnacentral:misc_RNA from 1 species
GGAAGUAAAAGCCGUAACAAGGUUUCCGUAGGUGAACCUGCGGAAGGAUCAUUACCGAGUAAUCCUGUACUCCAGGAACUCCCACCCUUGGCAAUUCGACGUUGCUUCGGCGAGUCGUUGGAAACAGCCGUUGGCGGAAGAACAAUUCUGUCGGCGCGCGCUCGCCGGAGUUUCAUACUCUGAAUUUGUAUCGUCAGAAAAACAAGCAAUUAUAAAAAACUUUCAACAACGGAUCUCUUGGUUUUG